rnacentral:piRNA from 1 species
UGAUAGCCCUGUUAUUCUAUGUUC